rnacentral:rRNA from 1 species
UACGUAGGUGGCAAGCGUUGUCCGGAUUUACUGGGCGUAAAGCGCCCGCAGGCGGCUUGGCAAGUCUGAGGUGAAAUCUCCCGGCUCAACUGGGAGGGUGCCCCGGAAACUGCCAGGCUCGAGGCAGGGAGAGGGAUGUGGAAUUCCCGGUGUAGUGGUGAAAUGCGUAGAUAUCGGGAGGAACACCAGUGGCGAAGGCGGCAUCCUGGCCCUGUCCUGACGCUCAGGGGCGAAAGCGUGGGGAGCAAACCGG